rnacentral:rRNA from 1 species
GAACGCUGGCGGCAGGCCUAACACAUGCAAGUCGAGCGGUAACAGAAAGUAGCUUGCUACUUUGCUGACGAGCGGCGGACGGGUGAGUAAUGCUUGGGAACAUGCCUUGAGGUGGGGGACAACAGUUGGAAACGACUGCUAAUACCGCAUAAUGUCUACGGACCAAAGGGGGCUUCGGCUCUCGCCUUUAGAUUGGCCCAAGUGGGAUUAGCUAGUUGGUGAGGUAAUGGCUCACCAAGGCGACGAUCCCUAGCUGGUUUGAGAGGAUGAUCAGCCACACUGGGACUGAGACACGGCCCAGACUCCUACGGGAGGCAGCAGUGGGGAAUAUUGCACAAUGGGCGCAAGCCUGAUGCAGCCAUGCCGCGUGUGUGAAGAAGGCCUUCGGGUUGUAAAGCACUUUCAGUCAGGAGGAAAGCUUAGUAGUUAAUACCCAUCAGCUGUGACGUUACUGACAGAAGAAGCACCGGCUAACUCCGUGCCAGCAGCCGCGGUAAUACGGAGGGUGCGAGCGUUAAUCGGAAUUACUGGGCGUAAAGCGUACGCAGGCGGUUUGUUAAGCGAGAUGUGAAAGCCCCGGGCUCAACCUGGGAACUGCAUUUCGAACUGGCAAACUAGAGUGUGAUAGAGGGUGGUAGAAUUUCAGGUGUAGCGGUGAAAUGCGUAGAGAUCUGAAGGAAUACCGAUGGCGAAGGCAGCCACCUGGGUCAACACUGACGCUCAUGUACGAAAGCGUGGGGAGCAAACGGGAUUAGAUACCCCGGUAGUCCACGCCGUAAACGAUGUCUACUAGAAGCUCGGAGCCUCGGUUCUGUUUUUCAAAGCUAACGCAUUAAGUAGACC